AUAUAUUAUUAGAUGAAAUAUUUUUUUUGGAAAAAUAUUUCUGUAUAAUUUUAGCAGUUGGGACUUUUAGAGGGAUAUAUUUAUAAGGGCAAAAAUAUCAUUUCGCUUAUCUGCUGUUAAAAAAUAAAUAGUACGCUCUAAUGACAACAAACCAGAGGGACAAAUAUGAAUAUCAUUGAAUUUUUACCUAAAUAAAAAUAAAAAAAUUAAACAUUUUAGAAAUAUAUUUGUUAUUCAAUACCCUUAUUAAUUAUUUUC
rnacentral:lncRNA from 1 species